rnacentral:rRNA from 1 species
GAUGAACGCUGGCGGCGUGCCUAAUACAUGCAAGUCGAGCGAACAGACGAGGAGCUUGCUCCUCUGACGUUAGCGGCGGACGGGUGAGUAACACGUGGAUAACCUACCUAUAAGACUGGGAUAACUUCGGGAAACCGGAGCUAAUACCGGAUAAUAUAUUGAACCGCAUGGUUCAAUAGUGAAAGACGGUUUUGCUGUCACUUAUAGAUGGAUCCGCGCCGCAUUAGCUAGUUGGUAAGGUAACGGCUUACCAAGGCAACGAUGCGUAGCCGACCUGAGAGGGUGAUCGGCCCCACUGGAACUGAGACACGGUCCAGACUCCUACGGGAGGCAGCAGUAGGGAAUCUUCCGCAAUGGGCGAAAGCCUGACGGAGCAACGCCGCGUGAGUGAUGAAGGUCUUCGGAUCGUAAAACGCUGUUAUUAGGGAAGAACAAAUGUGUAAGUAACUAUGCACGUCUUGACGGUACCUAAUCAGAAAGCCACGGCUAACUACGUG